GAUGAACGCUGGCGGCGUGCCUAAUACAUGCCAGUCGAGCGAACGGACGAGAAGCUUGCUUCUCUGAUGUUAGCGGCGGACGGGCGAGUAACACGUGGAUAACCUACCUAUAAGACUGGGAUAACUUCGGGAAACCGUAGCUAAUACCGGAUAAUAUUUUGAACCGCAUGGUUCAAAAGUGAAAGACGGUCUUGCUGUCACUUAUAGAUGGUUCCGCGCUGCAUUAGCUAGUUGGUAAGGUAACGGCUUACCAAGGCAACGAUGCAUAGCCGACCUGAGAGGGUGAUCGGCCACACUGGAACUGAGACACGGUCCAGACUCCUACGGGAGGCAGCAGUAGGGAAUCUUCCGCAAUGGGCGAAAGCCUGACGGAGCAACGCCGCGUGAGUGAUGAAGGUCUUCGGAUCGUAAAACUCUGUUAUUAGGGAAGAACAUAUGUGUAAGUAACUGUGCACAUCUUGACGGUACCUAAUCAGAAAGCCACGGCUAACUACGUG
rnacentral:rRNA from 1 species